UCAAGGUCUUAAUAGGUAUACUUGCAACAUCUAGACAGGUGUGUGUGUGUGUGUGUUGGGGCAAAUUGGAGCUAAACUCUGCAGGACACCACCCCUCCAAGACCAAAUUUGGUGACCCCUGCUCUAGCCCAGUGGUUCCCAGCACUGCACAUUUUGCUUCUCUCCUUUGUCUUGACGCAACCAUUUCAGGUCUUGCAGUUUCUACUUAUAAGCUGAGGAUCUGAAUUAGGUGCAUCACCUCUGAUGCCGAAUAUGAGGAAUAUAAGAAAAAAAA